rnacentral:rRNA from 1 species
UACGUAGGGCGCAAGCGUUGUCCGGAAUUAUUGGGCGUAAAGAGCUCGUAGGCGGUUUGUCGCGUCUGUCGUGAAAGCCCACGGCUUAACCGUGGGUCUGCGGUGGAUACGGGCAGACUAGAGGCAGGUAGGGGAGAAUGGAAUUCCCGGUGUAGCGGUGAAAUGCGCAGAUAUCAGGAGGAACACCGGUGGCGAAGGCGGAUCUCUGGGCCGAUACUGACGCUGAGGAGCGAAAGCGUGGGGAGCGAACAGG